rnacentral:rRNA from 1 species
CCUACGGGAGGCUGCAGUGGGGAAUAUUGCACAAUGGGGGAAACCCUGAUGCAGCGACGCCGCGUGAGUGAAGAAGUCAUUCGUUAUGUAAAGCUCUAUCAGCAGGGAAGAAAAUGACGCUACCUGAGUAAGAAGCCCCGGCUAACUACGUGCCAGCAGCCGCGGGAAUACGUAGGGGGCAAGCGUUAUCCGGAUUUACUGGGUGUAAAGGGAGCGUAGACGGCAGUGCAAGUCUGGAGUGAAAGGUGGGGGCUCAACCUCCGGAAUGCUCUGGAAACUGUACGGCUGGAGUGCAGGAGAGGUAAGUGGAAUACCUAGUGUAGCGGUGAAAUGCGUAGAUAUUAGGAGGAACACCGGUGGCGAAGGCGGCUUACUGGACUGUAACUGACGUUGAGGCUCGAAAGCGUGGGUAUCAAACAGGAUUAGAUACCCCAGUAGUC